rfam:Solanum tuberosum cultivar DM 1-3 516 R44 scf00174_16, whole genome shotgun sequence.
GUGCUGUGAUGAUUAUUGUACAAAUAUGUGAAGUAGGGUCUUCACUACCAUCUGAUAUAUGAGAUGAAAUCUUGUGCAUCUGAGCUC